GUAUUUGCUGCGAGGGGUAAACACAUUUCUAGAAGUCAGGACCUAUACCUGGGAACCAAUCCCGGCAUGCCAAAUAGAGGGGCACCGGGCCAUCUACGUGCUUUUUUUGCUUUUCAUAUGUGUGUCUGCCUAAACUGUACAGAGUGUUUUCAGGUAAUUUCAAAUACACAUUUAUUUCUCCUCCAAAAAUAAAAUUUUAAUUAAUUUUAUCUCUGUUUCUUUUUCACACUCCCUAGUUAUCAUGCUAAGACCCAGCAGAGACGAUGCGACACCUGCAGCCAAAGGAUAGGGUGAUGGAAAGCAUUCUAGAAUGCCCUGCUAGGCAGCUAGAGACUUGGCUUAGAGAAUGUGGUCUUGGGAAGUGAGCUUGGAGCCAUGUCUCUGAAUUGGACAGAAGACUGAGUUCUAAAUUAUUACAGAUCUUGCUUGACUUAUAAUGGGGAUACAUCUACAUAAACCUGUCGUAAGUCGGAAAUAUCUUAAAUGGAAAAUGCAUUUAAUGCAUCUGAAAUACUGAACAUCAUAGCUUAGCCUAGCCUACCUUAAAUGUGCUCAGAACCCUUACGUUAGCCCAUAGUUGGGCAACAAAGCCUAUUUUAUAAGAAAUGUCACGUAUUGAAUACUGUACUGAAAGUGAAAACCAGAAUGGCUGCAUGGGUGCAGAAAUGUUGUCAGGGGACCCUCGUGAUCGCGGGGCUGACUGGGAGCUGAGGGUCGCUGCCACCCCUCAGCGUCACCAGAGAGGAUCGUACUGUGUCACACUAGUGUGGGGAAAGGUCCAGAUUCAAAAUUUGAAGUACUGUUUCUACUGAAUGUGCAUCACUUUUGCACCGUCAGAAAGUCGAAAACUUGUAAAUGAAACCAUCAUAAGUUGGGGACCAUCAGUACCUUUCUCUUGGGCAACAGAGCCCUCCUCUGGCCCCUUGCCCCACAGCAACCCUGUAGCUUGCCAACAGUUCUGGUUACUCACUUGAUCCCCUGGCUUCUUUUGUCUGGGUCAGUUUUGAGGACUUGAUUCCACCCUGAGGCUUGGAAGUCACUCUGGUAUUGGCUGCUGUACUCCAUUUGGCCUGGACGCACUAUUGGUCCUAUUUUUCUGCCCUGAAUAUGAACUGGGAACGUGGACUGACCAAGAAGAGGGCUCUGCAAGGAAAUCUGAUGAGUAGUGGUCAUAUAGUCAUCACCUGAAGGGAGCAAGAAAGUGUGCAGAGGCCCUCCUCUGUGUGGGAAAGUCUUGAGAGGGAAGAUCUUGACAGUAGGACCUGGACCCCAGGCUUGGCUCCUGCACGGCUCAUUCUAUUUAAGCAAACCUUUCAUAAGGGGAAUAAUAGACCCAAUGUAAGAGCAUUGCCUCUUCCUCCAAUCUGACCUUUAGGGUUGUCUCCCCAAGACCAGAACUAAAGAAUCCUUAGUGUGGAAUCCAGAGUAUUCUCCCACCCCUUUUUGGGUCACCAGAGCUUUGAAAACCUGGAAUACAGAGCUGCCCACUGGUCUAGCCUAAAUAGGGAGGAAGGUAGGCUAGGAUGGGGUGGUUGGUGUGGUCUCCUCCCAGAGUGCUCCUAGCUGGCCUCGUAGUCAAAUAUUGCCUGAAUGGCUCUUGAAGAGACAGGGCUGGGGUCCUUACUGCUUACUGUAUUCUCCUGGGCUUUUGUUCCCACCCCUGGGAUCAGCCUGGGAGAUAGGAGUGCCCUGGGGGAAGGGUGAGGUAGGUGGAUUUAUACUGAGUGCCACUCAUCUAUCCUGUUACCCUUUUUGCCAUCAAGCUAAGUCUCACCUGAAUGGGAGGGUUCUCCCCAUGGUAAGUCACAGGCUGUAUCCUCCCGGGCUUGUAACAUUCUCCAUAGGUUGUACUGAAGGAGAGCCGCUGAGGCUUGCUGUGCUGGUUGGAGUACCUUGGGGGUUGCGUCUGGAGUGGAGCCUUGGGAAGGGGCUCCAGGCGGUAUUUAAUAUCUCCUGGGGCUAUUUCCUCCUGGGCUUCUGACUCCUACAAAACAACCCCCCUGCUGCUGCUUUCCCAGAGUAGGGUCCUUCUUAUCUCUCCAUCUUAAUUGUGGAAGUCAUUGGGGGAUGGGUCUCUUACAGUGAGAGGUCAUCAAAGACAGGCAUGUGCUACUUUCCAGCAAGUUCCCUUACUUCGCUGAGCCACAAUUUACCUAUUUGUAAACUCACUUCCUGGGUUAUUGGAGAAGAUCUGAGAUAAAGUAUCCAGCAUGGUGCCUGGCAUGUAGGAGGCGCUUCAUAAGUAAUACCUUGUCUUAAAAUGUGAACACUAAAAUAUUUCCAAGAGCGUUUCUGCUGUAUCAGUGGCACAUGUCCUUGUUGGGUCCACUCUCAUCUCACUCCCCACCUUACCUGAACACUAGGAUGGCUGUCCCCUGGCUGGGUUUGGAGAGCCAGCCUGUCUUGCUUGGGUGCAGUUGAGGGUGGUGCUAUUUGAAGAAGGGUGGUCAAGUGGGCCGGGUCUUCUGUUCCCAGGAGAGGGGUUAUCUAGAGCAGAGGGAGGAGUAGUGAUAGACCUAUUCCAGUGAGUUUUCCCCAUUUACCUCAUGGCAGCCUUCCCUUACCCGUUACCCCUACCCCAUCCCCCUGAGGGCAGAGCUGGGAUGUUGCUGGUGGCCAUGGUGUUCAGAUAGGACCCAAACUGAGUUUAUUUGAGGCCCCAGCAGUAAGAACUGGGCAGGAUGGGUGUGUGUGUGUGUGUGUGUGUGUGUGUGUGUGUGUGUGUGUAAGCAUGUGCAGUGCUUUCUUUGCAUUUAAGGGCAUAUGACAUUUCAACAGCAGUUAUUUUAAAUGAGCAUUUCAGGUCUUUUUUUCUUUUCCUUUUUUUGGCCUUGAAAGUAGUGGCCUUGGUUGCAGGAGAGGUGGCUUAUGAUGACAUUGGUUACUGGUGGACUCACUGAUUGAUGGGCCAAACUCUGGGUAGGGGGGUGCCCUACCCUAGGGCUUGGUACAGUUGCUGUGUCUAUGUUUCCUAAGAGGCAGAAGAAAGAGUAGUCUCCAGGAGCAUAAGAGGUUUAGACCUGAGUCAGGGGUUUGUUCCCUUGCUUGCUUCGAAGCCAUAAGGAUGUACCCCACGGGACCUGUAGAAGCCCCUCCACAGGGAUUUGCCAGCAGCUGACACUCUUUCAGGGAGAGAGAGGCAGGGUGGCCCUCUGCACGGGCUGUACUUAGACUCAGCAUUUUUGGUUAAAGCGUGGGAGAUUGGGAGAGAAGGGGUUGCUGCCCUUUUAGAAGCAGCUUUUCGGCAGACGAGGAAAGAACCAUUUUGGACUGGCCAAUGUGAAGUGGAGAAAGCAGGGUAGGGUGUGUGGUGAUCUGCAGGAUGGAGAAAGGACCUGCCAAAGAGCCAUUUUACCGAUGGUUGAUGUUGGGAGGCUACAGCUGUAGUGGGGAGCAGG